UCCGGCUUCCACACUGUGGAAGCUUUGUUUUUUUGCUCUUUGCAAUAAAUCUUGCUGCUGUUGACUCUUUUGAGUCCACACUGCCUUUACGGGCCUGUAACACUCACGGCAAAGGUCUGCAGCUUCGCUCCUGAAGCCAGUGAGACCAAGAACCCACUGGAAGAAACGAACAACUCCAGACGCACCGCCUUGAGAGCUGUAACGCUGACCGCGAAGGUGUGCAGCUUCGCUUCUGAGCCAGCGACACCACGAACAAACCAGAAGGAAGAAACUCCGAACACAUCUGAACAACAGAAAGAACAAACUCCGGAUACUCCGCCUUUAAGAAGUGUAACACUCACCGCGAGGGUCCACGGCUUCAUUCUUGAAGGCAGUGAGACCAAGAACCCACCAAUUCCGGACACAUCGAGACAAAACAUAUAUGGAAGAAACAAAUAUGCAAAAUGUUAAUGAGGAGACAGGCAGAAGAUGUAGGACUACCCUGCUCCAUGUGACGGGACUUGUUUAUCUGCUCUUGCUGUUCUACUGUUCCCCAAGGUGUGAAGUGGAGCACCCAUUCAAUUGUUCUCAGGUUUGUUCUCAACUUAUUUGGAGUU
rnacentral:lncRNA from 10 species